rnacentral:rRNA from 1 species
AUUGAACGCUGGCGGCAGGCCUAACACAUGCAAGUCGAGCGGAGCGGCGGACGGGUGAGUAAUGCCUAGGAAUCGGCCUGGUCGUGGGGGAUGACGUCCGGAAACGGGCGCUAAUACAGACUCCUAUCCGAUGUGCCUAGGUCGGAUUAGCUAGUUGGUGGGGGAAAGGCCUACCAAGGCGACGAUCCGUAACUGGUCUGAGAGGAUGAUCAGCCACACUGGGACUGAGACACGGCCCAGACUCCUACGGGAGGCAGCAGUGGGGAAUAUUGGACAAUGGGCGAAAGCCUGAUCCAGCCAUGCCGCGUGUAUGAAGAAGGCCUUCGGGUUGUAAAGUACUUUAAGUGGGGAGGCGUUACCGACAGAAUAAGCACCGGCUAACUCCGUGCCAGCAGCCGCGGUAAUAC